UAGAUGGACCACAUGAUCACCGGAGCAAAGUAUUCGGCGGCUGUGGCAUGGAGGGGAAGGUGCCAGCGAUGACCAGCUUCUGGAGCUGAUCAGGGAGGACAUGAGGCUGCAGAGGGAGGCAGAGCAGCAGAGGGCACAGGAGAGAAGGAAGAACUUUGACAGCUUUUUACUUUGCUAGAAAAAAAUGGUUAAUAAAGAUUAAACAUGUACAUAUAAAAGAAAUAUCUAAAUAAAAUCAGUUCUGCAUUAAA